UUCUUCAGGGCGAGGUGAAAUUCCUCACUGGCGGUACAGUCCGCGACCCGCGCAAGCGGCUGACCCGGUGAAACUCCGGGACCAACAGUAUAGUCUGGAUGGAAGAAGAA
rnacentral:ncRNA from 1 species